GAUGAACGCUAGCGGCAGGCUUAACACAUGCAAGUCGAGGGGUAUAGUUCUUCGGAAUUAGAGACCGGCGCACGGGUGCGUAACGCGUAUGCAAUCUACCUUUCACAGAGGGAUAGCCCCAGAGAAAUUUGGAUUAAUACCUCAUAGUAUAGCAGUUUCGCAUGAAACCACUAUUAAAGUCACAACGGUGAAAGAUGAGCAUGCGUCCCAUUAGCUAGUUGGUAAGGUAACGGCUUACCAAGGCAACGAUGGGUAGGGGUCCUGAGAGGGAGAUCCCCCACACUGGUACUGAGACACGGACCAGACUCCUACGGGAGGCAGCAGUGAGGAAUAUUGGGACAAUGGGCGCAAGCCUGAUCCAGCCAUGCCGCGUGCAGGAUGACGGUCCUAUGGAUUGUAAACUGCUUUUAUACAGGAAGAAACACUACUUCGUGAAGUAGCUUGACGGUACUGUAAGAAUAAGGAUGGCUAACUCCGUGCCAGCAGCCG
rnacentral:rRNA from 1 species